rnacentral:rRNA from 1 species
GACGAACCGUGCGAACGUUGUUCGGAAUCACUGGGCUUAAAGGGCGCGUAGGCGGCCGACCAAGUCCGGGGUGAAAGCCCCCAGCUCAACUGGGGAAGUGCCUCGGAUACUGGCCGGCUUGAGGGAGGUAGGGGCGGAUGGAACUUCCGGUGGAGCGGUGAAAUGCGUAGAGAUCGGGAAGAACAUCGGUGGCGAAAGCGCUCUGCUGGACUGCAACUGACACUCAGGGACGAAAGCUAGGGGAGCGAAUGGG